UGAAGACACAAGUCAGCCGACACUCCCGACCAAAUAAAGCCACUUCCUUCUAUAUUUCGGUGUCUGAGGUGUUUUGUCUGUGACUCGUCCUGCUACAUUUCUUGGUUCCCUGACCGGGAAGUGAGGUGGUUGACGGGCAAUCAAGGAAGCCACUUAGGUGGCUUAGGCCUGCCCUGCAGAGCAUCCCUGUGGGGGACUCCGGCCAGCUUGAGCGACGCGGAUCCUGAAAGUGCUCCCAGGUAGGCAUUUGCCCCAGUGGAACGCCUCGUCAGAGCAGUGCAUGGCAAGCCCCUGCGUGAGAUCGACGCAGUGGCUGAACACUGGGAAGGAACUGGCUUUUGGAGUCCGGACAUCUGAAACAUGGAAGACCUACUCAGUGAAGAUGAGAGUGAGAACUCCCACUAAUAAGUGAGAUUCUCAAAGGGUGGAAUAAGGAAGGAGACCACCUCUCCUAUUGUCUCAUGCCUCAGAAAAAGAAAAGAGGAAGCAGAAGCUAAAGAAAGGCAGAAAUAAGAUCAAUAGUUAGAUAGCUCCCAGCCGCUCCCCAGGCCUGGUAAUUAAAAAUCAACCCUGACUUAACCACUUGUAUUACCUACAGAUUCCAGACAUUGUAUAAGGAAGCACUGUGAAACUUUCUGUUCUGUUCUGUUCUGUCCUGAUUACCAAUGCAUGCAGCCCCAGGCACGUACCCCAUGCUUGCUCAAUCGAUCAUGACCCUUUCACGUGGACCCCCUUAGAGUUGUAAGCCCUUAAAAGGGGCAGGAAUUUCUCUAUCAGGGAGCUGGGCCCUUAAGAUGCAAGUCUGCCAAUGCUCUCAGCCGAAUAAAGCCACUUCCUUCUAUAUUUCAGUGUCUGAGGUGUUUUGUCUGUGGCUCAUCCUGCUACAGUUCCAGAAGGAGGAACACUGUCACCAGGAGACACAACAACAAUUCCAUUAAACUGGAAGCUAAGAUUGCCACCUGGACACUUCAGGGUACUCCUAAAUUUAAGUCAACAGGCUAAGAAGGGAGUUACAGUGUUAGCUGGUGUGAUUGACUUGGACUACCAAGAUGAAAUCAGUCUACAGAGGCAAAGGCAUCUGCUUAUUUUCUUUUCCUAUGUGAGCUGAUAUUUACCUGAUUCCUUUUAAGUUCCACAACUGAUGAAGCUUUCACCAGGUGAACUAACGUCUACAAUAAUUGAAAUGAGGUCCAGUCAGGUUCCACCUCUGCUGUUUCUGUUUUUAUUGGCUGCAGUAUCGGAAGUCCCAAUAUCUGGACCCCAUUUUUUUGAGGCAUAGAACAUUCAUUUUGCCAGCAUGGAAGGAGUUGAAAUAGUGUGAUCAUAGACCCAGCAGUUUGGGCAGCUACUUACUAAUUUUCCAAAUCCUUGGUCUUGGCAGAAAUAACCACUUAUUAUUGCUAGGUCAGUACCUACAGCAACAGAAAAGCACAAUGGUUAGGAAUAUGAAUUUAGGAGUUGCAUUGCCUGUGUUCAAAUGCCAGCUCUGCCACUUACUACUAGUGCAAUGGUAGGUAAGUGAUUAGGAAAAAAAUGCGUAGUGAGAAUUUAUAUGUAUAAAAACAUGUAGAAUGAUCCCUGGAUCAUAGAAAGUACUAUCUCUUCAGGAAAUAAUUUCUUUAAGCUCAACCUAGAGCCUGUAUCUCUUCCAUCCCUUUACACAAUUGUGUAGACAUACAAUUUUCCAUAUUAAAUCUCUU
rnacentral:lncRNA from 10 species